GUCUACAGCCAGGCCACCCUGAACAAGCCCGAUCCUGUCUGAUCUUGGAAGCUAAGCAGGGUUGGACUUGGUUAGUACUUGGAUGGAAGACCAAGUACUUACUUUAUGCUGUAGGCA
rnacentral:rRNA from 1 species